rnacentral:rRNA from 1 species
AUUGAACGCUGGCGGCAGGCCUAACACAUGCAAGUCGAACGAUUGGCGGACGGGUGCUUAAUGUCUGUGAACCUGCCCGCUGGAGGGGGAUAACUACUGGAAACGGUAGCUAAUACCGCUUACCAUCGUAUGUUCCCAGAUGGGAUUAUCUAGUAGGUGGGGUAACGGCUCACCUAGGCGACGAUCCCUAGCUGGUCUGAGAGGAUGACCAGCCACACUGGAACUGAGACACGGUCCAGACUCCUACGGGAGGCAGCAGUGGGGAAUAUUGCACAAUGGGCGCAAGCCUGAUGCAGCCAGGCCGCGUGUAUGAAGAAGGCCUUCGGGUUGUAAAGUACUUUCAGCGAGGAGGCGUUACUCGCAGAAGAAGCACCGGCUAACUCCGUGCCAGCAGCCGCGGUAAUUC